rnacentral:rRNA from 1 species
GACGAACGCUGGCGGCGUGCUUAACACAUGCAAGUCGAACGGAAAGGCCCUGCUUUUGUGGGGUGCUCGAGUGGCGAACGGGUGAGUAACACGUGAGUAACCUGCCCUUGACUUUGGGAUAACUUCAGGAAACUGGGGCUAAUACCGGAUAGGAGCUCCUGCUGCAUGGUGGGGGUUGGAAAGUUUCGGCGGUUGGGGAUGGACUCGCGGCUUAUCAGCUUGUUGGUGGGGUAGUGGCUUACCGAGGCUUUGACGGGUAGCCGGCCUGAGAGGGUGACCGGCCACAUUGGGACGGAGAUACGGCCCAGACACCUACGGGAGGGAGCAGUGGGGAAUAUUGCACAAUGGGCGGAAGACUGAGGCAGCAACGCCGCGUGCGGGAUGACGGCCUUCGGGUUGGAAACAGCUUUCGCCUGUGACGAAGCGUGAGUGACGGUAAUGGGGAAAGAAGCACCGGCUAACUACGU